rnacentral:rRNA from 1 species
UUGACCUCAAAUCAGGUAGGACUACCCGCUGAACUUAAGCAUAUCAAUAAGCGGAGGAAAAGAAACUAACAAGGAUUCCCCUAGUAACUGCGAGUGAAGCGGGAAAAGCUCAAAUUUAAAAUCUGGUAGUCUUCGGCUGCCCGAGUUGUAAUCUAGAGAAGCAUUAUCCGCGCUGGACCGUGUACAAGUGUCCUGGAAUGGACCAUCAUAGAGGGUGAGAAUCCCGUCUUUGACACGGACUCCCAGGGCUUUGUGAUGUGCUCUCAAAGAGUCGAGUUGUUUGGGAAUGCAGCUCUAAAUGGGUGGUAAAUUCCAUCUAAAGCUAAAUAUUGGCGAGAGACCGAUAGCGAACAAGUACCGUGAGGGAAAGAUGAAAAGAACUUUGGAAAGAGAGUUAAACAGUACGUGAAAUUGCUGAAAGGGAAACGCUUGAAGUCAGUCGCGUUGGCUGGGGAUCAACCUUGCUUUUUUGCUUGGCUUACUUCCCAGUUGAUGGGUCAGCAUCAGUUUUGACCGGUGGAUAAAGGCUAGGGGAAUGUGGCACCCUCGGGUGUG